rnacentral:rRNA from 1 species
AGGGUUUGAUUAUGGCUCAGGACGAACGCUGGCGGCGUGCCUAACACAUGCAAGUCGAACGGAGACUUUCAAUAAGUUUACUUAGCGAAAGUUUUAGUGGCGGACGGGUGAGUAACGCGUGGGUAACCUACCCAUCAAGCCGGGACAACCCUUGGAAACGAGGGCUAAUACCGGAUAGGCUUAGAGCUUGGCAUCAAGCUUUAAGGAAAGAUGGCCUCUGAAGAUGCUAUCGAUGAUGGAUGGACCCGCGUCUGAUUAGCUGGUUGGUGGGGUAAAGGCCUACCAAGGCGACGAUCAGUAGCCGGCCUGAGAGGGUGAACGGCCACACUGGGACUGAGACACGGCCCAGACUCCUACGGGAGGCAGCAGUGGGGAAUCUUCCGCAAUGGACGAAAGUCUGACGGAGCAACGCCGCGUGUAUGAUGAAGGUCUUCGGAUUGUAAAGUACUGUCUUUAGGGAAGAACGGUUCCUUUGAAAAUAUUGAAGGGACAUGACGGUACCUAAGGAGGAAGCCCCGGCUAACUACGUGCCAGCAGCCGCGGUAAUACGUAGGGGGCGAGCGUUGUCCGGAAUUAUUGGGCGUAAAGGGCGCGUAGGCGGGUAUUUAAGUCCGGUGUGAAAGAUCAGGGCUCAACCCUGAGAGUGCAUCGGAAACUGGGUAUCUUGAGGACAGGAGAGGAAAGUGGAAUUCCACGUGUAGCGGUGAAAUGCGUAGAUAUGUGGAGGAACACCAGUGGCGAA